rnacentral:misc_RNA from 1 species
GAUGAAGAACGUAGCGAAAUGCGAUAAGUAAUGUGAAUUGCAGAAUUCAGUGAAUCUUCGAAUCUUUGAACGCACAUUGCGCCCGCCAGUAUUCUGGCGGGCAUGCCUGUUCGAGCGUCAUUUCAACCAUCAAGCCCCAGGCUUGUGUUGGAGCCCUGCGGCUGCCGCAGCCUCCCAAAACCAGUGGCGGGCUCGCUAUCACACCGAGUGCAGUAGUUUACUCUUCGCUCAGGGCGUGUGGCGGGUGCUAGCCGUGAAACCCCCAACUUCUCAAGGUUGACCUCGGAUCAGGUAGGAAUACCCGCUGAACUUAAGCAUAUCAAUAAGCGGAGGA